rnacentral:lncRNA from 1 species
GCUGGUUCUAAUCGAUCUGGUUCAACUCGAGUUGGAACAUAUCGUGUCGACGUGAAUAAAAAUAGUACUAACAAAACUGACAUGUACAAUGGUAACACUAUCAAUGUUGAUAUUAACAAAGUAGAUGUUGUUCGAACAUGUGGUAGAAGAGCGAAUUCUCAAAGAGUAUUAAAUAAAAGCGAAAACCAACAUGUAAAACAGUAUACAAAAAAAAAUAUAAAUAAUCAAAACUUAUCAAACAAAAUCCACAUAAACGUAAUGCAGUCGUUAAUACAUGACAAUUAUAUUAACAUAAAUGAACCAAACAGUAUCUUUUACGAAGUUAUUAAUUCGAAUAAUGUCCAACAAACUAAAAAAUAUAAAAAUGGACAGGAUGAACAAAAUGGACAAAAUGGACAGGAUGAACAAAAUGGACAAAAUGGACAAAAUGGACAGGAUGUACAAAAUGGACAGGAUGUACAAAAUGGACAAACUGGACAAAAUGGACAAAAUGGACAAGAUGUACAAAAUGGACAAAAUGGACAAGAUGUAAUAACAAACACAACAAGUGAUAUUAAUAAUUUUUGUAAUAGUACAUCUGAUAGUUUUACAAAUUUUCCAGAUAGUAAUAAAAAUUCAUUACAGCAUAUUGAUAAUAGUAAUAUAUCAUUACAUAAUGAAAUUAUUCCAAAAAAUAAGUUACACGAUUUGGAUGACACUAACAAAAAUGAGGCACAGACAGAUGAAGGAGAUAAAGAUAAGUCUAGUACAACACAACAUAAAGAUAUUACACAAAUAGAAAUCAACCAAUCGGAAAAAAAGGAAUGCUCUGAUGUUAACACAAUCGAACCAGUUUACAAUAAAAAACAUGAUGAAGAAAUGAAAGAUGGGACACGAGCAGGAACAGUAACAUGCAAAGGAGCAGAGACAAAAGCACAAACAGAAGCAGAGACAAAAGCACAAAUAGAAGCAGAGACAAAAGCACAAAUAGAAGCAGAGACAAAAGCAAAAACAAAAACAGGGUCAAAACCAACGAGAUCUACCCCGUUUGAUACCUCCUUGAACAUAAAGGAAAUAAGAACACUACAAAAGAAUUAUAAUAACCCACCGGAUGAAGAGCAAUGGAUUUGUCCAUUAUGCUCAUACCUGCGAAACCAAAUAUUAUUUAUUGAUGAUACUACCGCAUUUCAACUAAUUAGAUGUUUAAGUGUACCGAGAAAAAAAAAAGAUUUUAAUCUCAUUUUAAAGACAUGUAAAGAGUUAGAUAACACAUUAGUCAACACAAGUGAUAUAGAAACUAUAAUUAAAUCAUGUGUUAUUCCGAAAGAAAUUAAAUUAAGUAACAAUGAUUUAAUAUGUAAAAGUUAUAAAAUGAAAACAAUUUUGUUAAUGUUUGAUAUAACAAAUGAAAUAUUAUUAUAUAAGAGUGAAUAUAAUAUACACAUUUAUGAUAGUUGUGAUUAUUUUGAACAAAUCGUU